rnacentral:siRNA from 1 species
GUCCUGCCAAACUCGUCCCGCCA